CCUACGGGAGGCAGCAGUGAGGAAUUUUGCGCAAUGGGGGAAACCCUGACGCAGCAACGCCGCGUGAGUGAUGAAGGCCUUCGGGUCGUAAAGCUCUGUCAAGUGGGAAGAAUCUGCCCGAUGAUAAUACCAUUGGGCACCGACGGUACCACUGAAGGAAGCACCGGCUAACUCCGUGCCAGCAGCCGCGGUAAU
rnacentral:rRNA from 1 species